CAUAAUGUCCCAGCAAACAAGGAAGCUGCUAGUAGGUUGACAAGAUUAAGGAGCUGAAGAUCACGUCCUUGUAGCAACCUUUGAACUACAACCUACAGAGCCCCCAUGUCUGCAUCUCCAUACCACCCACACUUGGAAGAUGCAGUUUCAGAUAACUGUGACUUAACCGACCUCCUGGCUUUCUCAUCUGACUUUCCUGGCUAUCUCAAAGGCACCAAAGAGGACACACACUUGAAAACAAAGCAUGUGCAUCUUUCUGAUCAGGUUUGCCAUUGCAAUGUAACUGGUGAAAAGCUGAGGAGAUGUGUUGUCAUACAAUUGGCUACAUGCUUGAAUUUGAAGAUUUAUAAUGAGCAAGUGGGCCACAUUGGGCCAUCUAUUUCCUUGCCUGAUCAAAGGAAAUUUUCAUAUAAGACUGCUGGCUUCUAGCUUCUAUAAAAGGCCUGGUUGGGAAAGGGUUGGAAAUGACCCCAGCGUCUCAACUGUAAAUAGCCACUGGCACCCCCUUGUAGUAACUUUACUUCCACCACAAACACAUGACCUCAUCAUGAGCAUCCUGUGGAAGCAUUGCUUCAAGACUGGAGUGCCUCAUCACCAUUCAUCAGCUCUCUGCUCCCACCAUGUGCUUCCAGAGAACAGACAGCACCCAUGGUGAAACAGACCGGACAUGCUUCUCUCAUUCCCAGAAUGCUCUAGCAUCUUUGACCCUUAUUUCUUGUCCUCAUGGGAGUACCACAGCUGCAGUCUUCAGUUUCAGCUGCCUCUGUUGACAGGCUACUGUGAUGGUUAAGCACCACAAGAGAGAAGCUCUGGGAGCCAAUCACUUGUCAAAAUGCUGUCUUAUUGUCUGAGGAGAAGGAACCAAAGUGACAAAGGCUGGACUAUGAGAUGUGGACACAAGGAGUUCCCAAAUAUAAUAUAUUCCCGGUGAUAAGGUGCAAGAAGAAUCUAUGCAAAUCAUAAAAUGGUUUGAGCCGCCCAGGCUGUGUUUAUGAAGAUUCCUAACUUCUGUUUCAACUGAAGGCCAGAGAAGGAAGGGCUGAAGAAUGUUUCCCCUCCAUCUGCACUAAAAUACAUGCCAUUCUGGCUCAGGUGGCCUUCCCUAAAUCUGGAAGUUGAAUCCAAUCAAAACAUGCAUGGAAUUUUCAAACCAAUAUUCAUCCCAAGAAGAAUUCCACUGGGGGGAAAAACAAAUCACCCA